UCGGGCUCAAACUUCAUUCUGGAAAUCAACAGAACAAGUCUGUCUUCCUUCUCAUGUGCAUUCUUUCUUCUGUCUGUCAUGUAGAUAACACCAAGAAGGUGUAAGCUUGGAAUCCUGGCCUUCCUGGAAGUCUCAAAUGACACUACGUUAGAAUUAUUCUGGGCGGCCAAGAGGAGAUCCCAAAAGACGAGGAUGGAGGAAUUGUAAUUGUGGAAAUAGCUUCAUACAGUCACGGAGUUAUCACGUCUUCUGAAUGGAAAGCCCUCAGUGCUGCUCAAGUGAAUUUAACUGAACUUAAACCUUACAUAACUAAUGGAUGGUCAUGCAAAAACAAAGUACCUGAACACCUUCAACCAUACAUGCACGUAGCAAAUGAGCUGUCUCUUCUCAAUGAACUGGUGCUGAGGACUGAUUGUUUGGUGGUGCUAACCUCCUUAAAAGCAAAAGUGAUCAAAAUUGCCCAAGAUGGUCACAUGGGCAUGAGCUUGUGCAUUUUUAGGAGAGAAGGUGACUGACAAUGGGACACACAGCUUACCUCAUUUGAAAUGGAGCAAUAUUUGCAUAACCAUGAGAUGAAACACAAUACUAUUUCCUUGUACCAUCCUCAAGGGAAUGGCUUAGUGGAAAGAAUGAACAGAUUAGUGAAAUAAAGAUUACAAUUGGCUACUACGCAACAACAGCCCUGGAAAGAGUUUUAUACCCCAUCCUAUCCUGGAAUCCAGAGAUGAUUAACUGGCAGCUACAGGCCAAGUCUGCAUAUCCAUUGAUAUUUCACAGGUUUUGGUGCCUGUGUGUGCCUUUCCUCUGCCCCAAGCCUUCAUCUGCUACUUUCUAAUUGUUAGGCAAGGCAGACAAGGUGCCCCACAGGGAACAGAUGGCAUUCUGGAAUCUACCAGCAAGAGUCACUCCUGGAAGCGAUUUUCACCUUCAGGCUCCACAUUGAGUGGCUGGCACACCAAAGAGAUGGCCAUUGCUCACCAAUAGCUAGAUGGCACAGGAGCAGCCUUUUGCUUCCGGAGAUAGUUGCUGCUGCCCAGAAGAAGGUGCUAUCCCUUUGGGAUAAUUAGGUCCUGACCCAAUUGGCUCAGUUUGG